UACGGGGGGGGCAAGCGUUGUUCGGAAUUACUGGGCGUAAAGGGCUCGUAGGCGGCCAACUAAGUCAGACGUGAAAUCCCCAGGCUCAACCUGGGAACUGCGUCUGAUACUGGAUGGCUUGAAUUCGGGAGAGGGAUGCAGAAUUCCAGGUGUAGCGGUGAAAUGCGUAGAUAUCUGGAGGAAUACCGGUGGCGAAGGCGGCAUCCUGGACCGGCAUUGACGCUGAGGCGCGAAAGCCAGGGGAGCAAACGGG
rnacentral:rRNA from 1 species